UGAGGAAUAUUGGUCAAUGGCCGAGAGGCUGAACCAGCCAAGUCGCGUGAAGGAAGAAGGAUCUAUGGUUUGUAAACUUCUUUUAUAGGGGAAUAAAGUGGAGGACGUGUCCUUUUUUGUAUGUACCCUAUGAAUAAGCAUCGGCUAACUCCGUGCCAGCAGCCGCGGUAAUACGGAGGAUGCGAGCGUUAUCCGGAUUUAUUGGGUUUAAAGGGUGCGUAGGUGGUGAUUUAAGUCAGCGGUGAAAGUUUGUGGCUCAACCAUAAAAUUGCCGUUGAAACUGGGUUACUUGAGUGUGUUUGAGGUAGGCGGAAUGCGUGGUGUAGCGGUGAAAUGCAUAGAUAUCACGCAGAACUCCGAUUGCGAAGGCAGCUUACUAAACCAUAACUGACACUGAAGCACGAAAGCGUGGGGAUCAAACAGGAUUAGAUACCCUGGUAGUCCACGCAGUAAACGAUGAUUACUAGGAGUUUGCGAUACAAUGUAAGCUCUACAGCGAAAGCGCUAAGUAAUCCACCUGGGGAGUACGCCGGCAACGGUGAAACUCAAAGGAAUUGACGGGGGCCCGCACAAGCGGAGGAACAUGUGGUUUAAUUCGAUGAUACGCGAGGAACCUUACCCGGGUUUGAACGUAGUCUGACCGGAGUGGAAACACUUUUUCUAGCAAUAGCAGAUUACGAGGUGCUGCAUGGUUGUCGUCAGCUCGUGCCGUGAGGUGUCGGCUUAAGUGCCAUAACGAGCGCAACCCUUAUCACUAGUUACUAACAGGUGAAGCUGAGGACUCUGGUGAGACUGCCAGCGUAAGCUGUGAGGAAGGUGGGGAUGACGUCAAAUCAGCACGGCCCUUACAUCCGGGGCGACACACGUGUUACAAUGGCAUGGACAAAGGGCAGCUACCUGGCGACAGGAUGCUAAUCUCCAAACCAUGUCUCAGUUCGGAUCGGAGUCUGCAACUCGACUCCGUGAAGCUGGAUUCGCUAGUAAUCGCGCAUCAGCCAUGGCGCGGUGAAUACGUUCCC
rnacentral:rRNA from 1 species